rnacentral:rRNA from 1 species
CCUACGGAGGCAGCAGUGGGGAUAUUGCACAAUGGGGGCAAGCCUGAUGCAGCCAUGCCGCGUGUGUGAAGAAGGCCUUCGGGUUGUAAAGCACUUUCAGUCGUGAGGAAGGUAGUGUAGUUAAUAGCUGCAUUAUUUGACGUUAGCGACAGAAGAAGCACCGGCUAACUCCGUGCCAGCAGCGCGGUAA